rnacentral:lncRNA from 1 species
GUUGCACUGGAUCCAUUCCCAGACUUUAUGAGUCAUGUGGGGCAGCGGGGGCUGCUGGUAAACAUGCAGGUUCCUGAGCCCCACGCCCAAAGACUUUGAUGCUGGGAACCUUCACGUUUAACAAGCCCAGCUGCAGUUGCUGAAGUGCUCAUGCUGAGAAAACAGGACCCGAUGGCCUCACAGAGGAUGUGGCUCCGACCCCCAAGACCGAGACUCUGGAACUGAGAGGCAUACCAGUACUCCUCAUCUCUUAGGACAAACCUGUGUCUGACCACAACCAUUCCAUUGUCAGCAAGCAGUUAUCAAGCACCUGUUAUGGGUACUGAGCUGCAGGGGUGAUACCAAAAAGGCACGAUCCUGGGCCUCAGUCUAACUAAGGAGAUGACACAGCCAGAUGAAUGCGAGACAACCCACAGGUUUGGCUUGGAGAGAGAGGCAGGGGCUAAACUAUGUCGAGCCCUGUCGCCAUGAUGAGGAAUUUGGCAACAGAAGCAGGGGAGUGACACGAUCCUAGAACGGAAGCAGGAGACCAUGAAGAAUGAACUUUCUAACAGCAGUGUACUUUGCAGCAAUGACAUGCAUGGCCUUGGGCAGCAGGGAGCGCCCAGACACAGGAGCGGGGGUGGGGAACCCCUCAGGGAUGCUGUAGAGUGAAGUCGGACUCCAGGACGGAUGUGAAGCACGAUGACCUCUAAGAGCCCUCCUCCCUCUGACACUCCUGCUGGUCAGCCUCGUCCCCUCCAGCCCUGCACCCUGUGUCUCCAGUCAGGAUCCCUCCCGCGCCUGCCAGGUGGUGGCGCCAAACUGUUUCCCUACUCUGAACCUUCUCUCCACACCUACCCUACUCCCCU